GUGUGCGUGGGGGGUGGGGGAAUGAAACUCUGUCCAUUCUUAGGUUUGUAACAGCCUCAAAAUUACGGAAUCUAUUUAAGGUAAACCUGAUGCUGCCCAUUGUCCAAUGCCUAACACAAAUCAAGCUUAUGGAAAAAGAAUAUUAAAAUUUCCACGUUUUCCCUCGGGUCUGGAACCCCAGGAUUCAAGGGAGAAUUAAACAUUUUCCUCUCCCAUUCCCUUUCUCUUCCGAAGUCCGUAAAUGACAACGUGUUUACACAAGUUUUUAUGUCGUCUGAGCUUCGCCCCGGCCCCGCUUCCUCCUCUGUGUAUGUUCCGCGCAGAGAGAUGUCUGCUUCAGGACGCGUUCAACCUAAACAGAACCCCGUCUGAUUGGAAAAUGUAUUUAUUUGAAAAAUCGUAACUCACAGCUUUGGUGAAAACGGCCCCCAAAUUUAUGGGAUGGCUUGGGGCGCGGCGGUCGUAAAUUAAAAAGCACUGGACAACCCCCUCCCCCAAUCCCCGCAGCGGCACCAGUCAGGUUCUCAGGAGCACCCAGAGACUAGCCCCCUCCCGGCUCCACCCCGCCGCACUCUUCAGCCUCUGCUCCAAUCUCUUGCUGUGGGUAAGUGGCUGUGUUAACAGGCAGGUGGAUUUCAUUCUGGUUCCUUUCACCCAGUCAAGUUAAUUUCAGGGUAGCCUCACUGAGAACGGUUUCAGGUGGUCGGUUAACAGUGAACAGUGUUCUGUUGUGCACCCAUCUGUUUUAGGCAUCUCGGGUUUUCUCUUUAAGUACACGCUGGUAAAUUUCGUGGUAGUGGGCUGCUUGUCCCUAGUCCCCAACCGAGUGAUCAGUGGUGUGCCAGGCUGUCUCAUGCCAAGAGGUUUAUCUCUGGUCAGUGUCAUGAAGGUCAGUUUCAUCGGCGACUGCUGCUGCCCAGGUCUGGGAAAUUUUUUCCUUUCAGUCCAAUCUGAAUUCCCCUGGAGGAUGGAGUCAACACAUUCCGCCUAGUUGCGCGAUCCUUCAGCCAGCCUGCGCCAGCUGAGGACUAGGAUUAGAGGUUGGAACUGCGAGCACGUCCUGGGGAACAGGAGCCGCGGCCGCCAGAGGUGGGGAGCCGCGUAGUCCAGGCGGAGCUGGACUCAUGGGGCCUUCACUCGCAAUCGUCUGCUUCCCCCUGCAAACGCCGGACUGAGCCAUAUCGCUCCGUCUUUUUUUUUUUUCACUAACGAUCAAGCGCCACUUUGGCAGCGUACCCACGGGGAGCAAGGCAAGCUCUCCGCUCCCGGCUUGUCUGUCUAAGCGCUGCUGUCUCGGGCAAACGAGUUUAGCUACUCAAAAUUUGUGCCUUUUGCGCUCGUUUCAAAGGAGCGCUCUGGAGCGCAGGAAGAGCCGCAAAGUAGUGCGGGAAUCCCAGAAUCCGAGGUGGUGCCGUAACUCAUCCCAACCGGUUCUGCCGCGGCCACCUGCCUCGCAGCAAGCCAGUCCGCUGGCACUGAUGUAUACGCAGAAACGUUGGUUGGAAGAAAUGCAAUACCUUUAUUAGGCAGAGAAAGCCCAGCUGGAUUAACCUAGUCUGUUUUGGGAGAUUAAGAACUGGUGUGAGGUAGCAUGGGUCCGAAGUGGUGAGGGGACAGAGGGCUCCUCUUCCACCAGGUUCCCUUAACACGGGGUCUGGGGUGGGAGAAGGGGGACAGCCCUCCUUCCUCAGGCCUGCUUCCUUCCAAUCUAAAAUGGCCUUGCUCUAACGGGUGUUGGGAUCUGCACAUUCUCCUCCGCCCCGGACAGCACUAGAGCCAGAGAUGGACUUUCAGAGCUGCUUGGAGUACGAGGCCCAACAAGCCAACAGGCCUAUGUGUGGCCAGAAAGGGCUCUGGUUAUCUGCUGUCCGCCUCUGUUUCGUUUGGUCUGUCAAGUCCAGCAGCAAAGUGGCCCAAACGUGUGAGGUUUGAUAAAAGUGGGAAGGGUUGGAGCAGGGGCCAGAGGACUUACUUGAUGAGUCCUAUCGAGGUAGCUGAGUUUGGGCACUGUGGACUGGGCAGGCGUCUACAGCAGACUCCCUCCGGGGCCUCUCCUGUGCGUCUUUUGGAGACUCGCUCUGCCCUCCCCAUUUAUGAAGCUGCUCACCUGCAGGUCCUUGGCAAGGUGAAUGCAACUCCAUACCACCUGGCGGCUCUCCCUCAUCAGCCCGAGGCAUCCCCCG
ensembl:lncRNA